rnacentral:lncRNA from 10 species
UGGCAGUUUUUAUUAGCAGCUAAGAUUUUUGUCUGUUUAUAAAAUUGAUGCUAUGAACUAAAAUUAGGUUUGAGAGGACAGUUCACUUAAUCUAUGUUAUUUCUUGUCAAAAUAAUGAAAGAUUGGAAGUUCUUUUAUUUCAUAGGUCACUUAUGAUCAAUUUAUGAGUCUUCUCAUACAUACUACUUAAAUAUUCAAUAAAUUAACCUGGCUCACAAUGAUAAUUUUUGAAUAUAUAAUUGAAAAAUCUCUAAAAUACCAUGGAUUUGAGUUGUACUGACACUCAUCUGCAUUUUUUUCUGAGCCCUUUUGUAUGAUUUAAGGAAGAUACACUUGCUUAUUCUUUUAGAUUUUAGAAUCUCCCAUCUCUGAUUAUCAUAAUCAAAAUGAAUGAGGAAUAAGUAUCCACAAGAAGCUAUAACCUCUGAGAAUUUCCCAGGUAAGACACUACACUGUAUUCCUAAAUUUUUCUAGCAAAUAAUUGUUCUCCAAAUGAAGUCUACAAAUAACACCCUACCUAUCUUCACAUAAUCAGUUAGUAAUUUCUUUCUUAUUACUGAGUCACAAAAGUUUGAGUCCUAUGUACUUUUAUUUUUAUUCUUUUGACUUUUUUUUUGCUAUAAGUAUAUGUGACUCAUGCACUAGAGAGAUGGGUAAGGAAAAAAAAUGCUUUUGAAAGACCGAAUACUCUGUGAUGAAACGCUAGCCCCAGAUCUAUUCUUGCUUCUUUUGAAUUUACUACUAAUUACACAAUUAUGUGUUACUGCAUUAUUUUACUAAAUUCCAAAGUUAAAAGACUGAUUAUCAGAGAAGUUAAUUUUGACCUUUCACUUGAAAGGUCAAGGUCAUUUGUAAUUAUUUUCUGUUAGAAUUCCCUUCCUCUAGAGGAAAGAAAAAAAUGUAUUGCAGAGGGGAAAAUUCAGCUAAGAAAUUGAAAUAGGCUAUGUUCCUUUAUUCUGGAACUUUGCAAAGAAGGGUAUUAGGAAUACAGAAGAGGCAGUAUUAACUUUAACAAAGGCAACAGGAAAUUGUUUGCUGAACUAUGACCCUGUAGUAAAACUGAAGUCUGAUCACAUCCAGAUAUAUGGUAAGAUAUGGAUUUGGACAUUACCUCAUCCUGAAUCUUCUUGGCAUCAAUAGUAAUGUGUUUUGAGACCUAUAAACUCAUAAAUCUAAUUUUGGAACUUUAUUUUGAGAUUAUUUUACAUGGGAUUAUACAUUAACACAUAUAUGCAUGAGCGCUAUUGACAGAUACUUCAUUUUUAAUAGGUUGUCCCUAGAAGUGCCGAGACUGACAUUUUAUCAAAUCCUGGUAUGACAAUUUAUUACAUUUUUUGUUUUGAUAGAUGGUGUAUUCCAUGAUUAUAUAACUCAAUACCAGACCUAGGGAGAAAAUAAUUUUCUUUGAUUUAGAAAUCAGUUACUUCCAGGUGUUUUUUGUUUGUUUGUUUGUUAUUAUAUGCAGCAAUGGCAUCUUUUGACACCUUUAGUGUAGGUUUACCUUUUUAUUAGGGAGCAAACACAUUCCUAACUCACUAAGUGCAGCAUUCCUGAAGAGUAAUCAUUUUUUUUCUCAUAUUACUCUCAUAUUCUUCUCAUAUAUUUCUUAUAUUCCUUGAAAAUUUUGUGAAUGUUUUAUCUGGGUUCCACCUGAAUAUAUACAAAGAAGAGAUGGAUUAUAAAGAAAUGUGUUUGCAAUAUGAACCCAGCUGACACUAAAAAGAUGCACAUUUUAUUUUUAAAAAAUUAUAUAAAAA